AUGUUUUCAGGCUGCAGUUCUCGUUCAGUGUCUCACACGCACUCACACACAUACACGCACUCACACACACAUUCACACACACACAUACUCACACGCACUCACACACAUACACGCACUCACACACACAUUCACACACACACAUACUCACACGCACUCACACACAUACACGCACUCACACACACAUUCACACACACACAUACUCACACGCACUCACACACAUACACGCACUCACACACACAUUCACACACACACAUACUCACACGCACUCACACACAUACACGCACUCACACACACAUUCACACACACACACAUACUCACACACACACACAGUCACACAUACACACACACACAUACACACGCACUCACACACACAUUCACACACACACAUACUCACACGCACUCACACACAUACACACGCACACACACACAUUCCCACACACACACAUACUCACACGCACUCACACACAUACACGCACUCACACACACAUUCACACACACACAUACUCACACGCACUCACACACAUACACGCACUCACACACACAUUCACACACACACAUACUCACACGCACUCACACACAUACACGCACUCACACACACAUUCACACACACACAUACUCACACGCACUCACACACAUACACGCACUCACACACACAUUCACACACACACAUACUCACACGCACUCACACACAUACACGCACUCACACACACAUUCACACACACACAUACUCACACGCACUCACACACAUACACGCACUCACACACACAUUCACACACACACAUACUCACACGCACUCACACACAUACACGCACUCACACACACAUUCACACACACACAUACUCACACGCACUCACACACAUACACGCACUCACACACACAUUCACACACACACAUACUCACACGCACUCACACACAUACACGCACUCACACACACAUUCACACACACACAUACUCACACGCACUCACACACAUACACGCACUCACACACACAUUCACACACACACAUACUCACACACACACAUUCACACAUACACACGCACACACACACAUUCACACACACACAUACACACACGCACUCACACACGCACACACACACAUUCACACACACACACAUACUCACACGCACUCACACACAUACACACGCACACACACACAUUCACACACACACAUACACGCACUCACACACAUACACGCGCACACACACACAUUCACACACACACAUACACACGCACUCACACACACACAUUCACACAGUCACACUUACUCACACACAUACACACGCACACACACACAUUCACACACAUACACACACGCACUCACGCACACACACACAUUCACACACACAUUCUCACACGCACUCACACACAUACACGCACUCACACACACAUUCACACACACACACUCACACGCACUCACACACAUACACGCACUCACACACACAUUCACACACACACAUACUCACACGCACUCACACACAUACACGCACUCACACACACAUUCACACACACACAUACUCACACGCACUCACACACAUACACGCACUCACACACACAUUCACACACACACAUACUCACACGCACUCACACACAUACACGCACUCACACACACAUUCACACACACACAUACUCACACGCACUCACACACAUACACGCACUCACACACACAUUCACACACACACAGACACACACGCACUCACACACAUACACACACACACACACACAUUCACACACACACAUACUCACACGCACUCACACACAUACACGCACUCACACACACAUUCACACACACACAUACUCACACACACACACAUUCACACAGUCACACAUACACACGCACACACACACAUUCACACACACACAUACACACACGCACUCACACACGCACACACACACAUUCACACACACACACAUACUCACACGCACUCACACACAUACACACGCACACACACACAUUCACACACACACAUACUCACACGCACUCACACACAUACACGCGCACACACACACAUUCACACACACACAUACUCACGCACUCACACACACACAUUCACACAGUCACACAUACUCACACACAUACACACGCACACACACACAUUCACACACACACAUACACACACGCACUCACGCACACACACACAUUCACACACACAUUCUCACACGCACUCACACACAUACACACGCACACACACACAUUCACACACACACAUACUCACACGCACUCACACACACACACACAUUCACAGUCACACAUACUCACACCCACUCACACACACUCACACAUACUCAAACCCACUCACACACACACACACUCACACAUACUCACACUCACUCACAUACACACACACUCACACAUACUCACACUCACACCCACACUCACACAUACUCACACCCACUCACACACACUCACACAUACUCAAACCCACUCACACACACACACACUCACACAUACUCACACUCACUCACAUACACACACACUCACACAUACUCACACUCACACCCACACUCACACAUACUCACACCCACUCACACAUACACACACUCACACAUACACGCACUCACACACACACACUCACACAUACUCACACGCACUCACACACACACAGUCACACAUACUCUCACACACACACACAUACUCACACACACACACUCACACAUACACGCACUCACACACACUCACACAUACUCACACACACAUACUCACACGCACUCACACACACAGUCACACAUACUCACACACACUCAACACACGCGUGCACACACACACAAACAAUAA
ensembl:lncRNA